ACAAAUUGUGAAAAAAAAUAGGAAAUUUCUGGUUGCUCCUCCUAAAAAUAAAAUGAUGAUUUCAUGAGCUAUAAUUCAAUUGAAUGUGUUUCCUCCAUCAAAUCGUGCAUGUGUUUUGCUAUCUAGAGUCUUGAAGAGGCCCUAAAAUAUUCAGAGGAUUCCUCUCCAUUUUUGGCUGUCCUACAGAAGACUGUGUAUCAUCCACUCUGUUUGAAAUAUCCUCCAUCGGUUCAAUACAGAAGACGCUUCUUAUCCGAGCUGAUCAGAAAGCAUGAAUCUACAAGCACUGAACCUCUGGAUCAGCUCUACGAAGCCUUAGGGGUGGUCCUGAAUUGUGAAGAAACCACACACUGUUACAAGAACUAUUU